GAGGGUAUAGCUCAAGUGGUAGAGCGCAUGGUUAGCAUGCAUGAGGUCCUGGGUUCAAUCCCCAGUACCUCCU
rfam:Camelus ferus unplaced genomic scaffold scaffold1006, whole genome shotgun sequence.